AUUGAACGCUGGCGGCAUGCCUUACACAUGCAAGUCGAACGGCAGCGGGGGAGAAGCUUGCUUUUCCUGCCGGCGAGUGGCGAACGGGUGAGUAAUACAUCGGAACGUGCCCUGUAGUGGGGGAUAACUAGUCGAAAGAUUAGCUAAUACCGCAUACGACCUGAGGGUGAAAGUGGGGGACCGCAAGGCCUCAUGCUAUAGGAGCGGCCGAUGUCUGAUUAGCUAGUUGGUGGGGUAAAGGCCUACCAAGGCGACGAUCAGUAGCUGGGCUGAGAGGACGAUCAGCCACACUGGGACUGAGACACGGCCCAGACUCCUACGGGAGUCAGCAGUGGGGAAUUUUGGACAAUGGGCGAAAGCCUGAUCCAGCAAUGCCGCGUGUGUGAAGAAGGCCUUCGGGUUGUAAAGCACUUUUGUCCGGAAAGAAAUGGCUCUGGUUAAUACCUGGGGUCGAUGACGGUACCGGAAGAAUAAGGACCGGCUAACUACGUGCCAGCCGCCGCCGUAA
rnacentral:rRNA from 1 species